rnacentral:lncRNA from 1 species
AUGGAUCCAACGUUAAAUGACACAUUUGUUCCGGAUGAAGUGAAAAGGUGCAUUCAUGUUGGUCUCUUAUGUGUAGAACAAUAUGCAAAUGAUCGACCUACAAUGUCUGAUGUUAUAUCAAUGUUAACAAACAAAUAUGAACUCACAACAAUACCUAGAAGACCAGCAUUUUAUGUUAGAAGAGACAUUCUUGAUAGAGAAACAACUUCUAAAGUGCCAGACACCGACACCUAUUCUACAACAAUUUCUACCUCGUGUGAAGUAGAAGGGAAAAUAUAAAUAAUCAAUAAAUAUAUAUGUAGAUUGUUCAUACACUCGUUUGAAACAGAUUUUGUUCUUUGAAGUAUCAAAAAAUGUAAGCUUGAAUAUGGUUUGGUUUUAUGAAAUAUUCAGUGUCUGUAAAAAAAAAUUCAAAAUGGUUCUUAAAGUACGUACUUUUUCAUUGUAGUUCUUGUUAAUAGAUUUUAGUCUAAAUUAGAUUUUCAUAGUCCAUCACCAACAUUUUUGAUUUCUAACAAGUCCUAUUUAUAAAUGGCACAUAACAAAUUAUUUCUACAAAAAUGGUACCUGAAAAGCAUGCCAAUCACAAAAAUGGUAACCUAUUAGCACUAGGCAGAGGACGAAAUUUAAUGCAAUGGAGUUCCAAAGCUAAUCUAUACUAAUUUUUUGUAUGAAAAGGCAUAUUUACCUCUGGAAUCCUUUCAAUCAUUUUUUACUUUAAAACUUGUUCAGCUUCCGUUACUAAUUUUCUAUACUAAUUUUUUGUAUGAAAAGGCAUAUUUUUUAUUUUAAUAUAUUAAGAUCUGAAAAAAGAGAAUACACCCGUUUAAGCUGAAUUUACUACUUCCUACUCUUGACAUACUUUUGAGCUGAAUUUACAAACAAUACAAUUUGGAUAUAGGCAAAAUUAAUGUAACUCAAAUAAAAUGUUCAGCUACUGGUUUUUUUCUUCUUUAUAUUUUGAAUAUGCUUUUAUCUAGAAAAGAAGACAUGUUUCAUUUUUGCAAUAUUUUUUUUUUUUUUUUAUAGUUAAGAUAGUAAUAAAAGGUUGAAUUAUUUUGUAGGUUACUAUACUUUUUAAUUUGCAAUUAGUUCUUUCCUUGAAUUGAACCGCAAGAGUGCAAAUUUCUUUAAGUGCAGCAACAAGAAGGGGGUUAAUGGGAAAUGGUUGAGUUUGGCUUUGCAAAAGGUUCAAAUUUUCUCUUGCCUAGUAAUUUUUGUAGACUCCCGACUUGCUCAAAUUUAUCUGAAAGAGGAGUGUUAGUGGAUGGUGUUAUUUCAGACUCUGUGUGGUGUCCUAGGAUUCGAGAGGUGAAGGAUCACUUGUUUUGUAGAAGUAACUUCGUUGCAGAGGUAUUCGUUUUUUAAAUGGAUCGGAACGGGGGUCAUUCUACCUGCAAAUUUUCUUUCCCUCCUAGAUUAUUUAUCUUCUUUAAAUAAAAGGCAUUGUAAGGGCUUAACACUUAUCCAGCAUGCAAUAUUGUGGAUGAUUUGGGAAUCGCGAAAUGAGGUUAUUUUCUCCUCAAAGAUUGCGGAAGUGCAGGAGAUCGUAGAAGGUAUCAAAGUAACAUCUAUAAAGUUGGUUUCUUGCUAAAAAAAAGGGGACCAUGUUUCUAUAAUGAUUUCAAACCCUCUUCUUUGUUUAAAUACUUAAGUUAGAGGUUGGUUUUUUUUGGGCAUGUAACCCUUAUACUUUUCCCAACUUGUAGGUUAAGUACUCUUUCUACUUCUCUCCUUUCUAAUAGAUAUGGUUGUUAAAAAACAAAACAAAAAUCAUAGCUUUCAUAAGAACACCUGCUUUAGGCUUACGUACUCUUUGUAAUAAAAGAAAAAAAGCACACCUACUUGAAUAACGUAUUAUUUUCUUGAAAGAAAAAAAAUAAACAAAUUCUUUUCAUUCGUUAUAUCACAUAAUUUAAUUUCAUUACUUCAAUUUAAAAAAUAAAAUAAAAAAUAAAUAAACUUUACUUAGGUCCCUUGCGAACAGGGACGUUAUAAUCUAUACAUUACUUAUCCUUCAAUUAUUAUUGUAUUAAAGUAAACUUCUUUUAAAAAAAGUAUAGUAGAGAAAAGUAGUCUAGUUUGUGCAACAUUUAGUAGUGGAAAAAUAAAGAUAAAGUUGAUUUGACAUUAACAUUGUGAACCAGAAGAAACUCUGAUAAAGUUGGGCAGUGCAGAUUGCAAGAAACAAGUUGGUGAGUAUUUCUCUUCUUUUUGAAACAAUAUUCAACAAUGAUGAUAAGCUUUGAAAUAAAGAAACAAGUUGUAUUGAUAUACCUAUGGUUGUGGUGGAACACUACUGCUAAUAUUUGUGUUGAAGCAACAAGUGAUAGUUUGAAGCCAGGUGAUAAAUUGAAUUACAAAUCCAAGCUAUGUUCUAAACAAGGCAAGUUUUGUCUUCAAUUCGGCAAUAAUUCUAAUUCUGAUUUCCAAUGCUUGUUUAUAAGUGUUAAUGCUGAUUAUGGCAAAGUAGUGUGGGUGUAUGAUAUAAAUCAUUCCAUUGACUUUAAUACAUCAGUUCUAUCACUAGACUACUCUGGUGUGCUCAAAAUAGAAUCUCAAAAUAGGAAACCAAUAAUCAUUUACUCUUCACCUCAACCUACCAACAACACUGUGGCCACUAUGUUAGACGCCGGUAACUUUGUGCUUCAACAAUUUCUUCCCAACGGCUCAAUGAGUGUGUUGUGGCAGAGUUUUGAUUAUCCAUCAGACGUUUUGAUCCCAAUGAUGAAGUUAGGCGUUAAUCGAAAAACAGGACAUAAUUGGUCAUUGGUUUCAGAUAAAUUUAAUCUUGAAUGGGAACCAAAACAAGGUGAAUUGAACAUCAAGAAAAGCGGCAAAGUGUAUUGGAAAAGCGGAAAACUUAAAAGCAAUGGAUUAUUCGAGAAUAUUCCGGCCAAUGUUCAAAGUAGGUAUCAGUACAUUAUUGUCUCUAACAAGGAUGAAGAUUCUUUCACGUUCGAAGUUAAAGAUGGGAAGUUUGCACAAUGGGAACUAUCCUCGAAGGGGAAGUUAGUAGGUGAUGAUGGAUAUAUUGCUAAUGCAGAUAUGUGUUACGGAUAUAAUAGUGAUGGAGGGUGCCAAAAAUGGGAGGAUAUACCAACUUGCAGGGAACCUGGUGAGAUGUUUCAGAAAAAGGCGGGAAGACCAAGCAUAGACAAUUCAACAACAUAUGAAUUCGACGUGACUUAUAGUUACAGUGAUUGCAAGAUCAGAUGUUGGAAAAAUUGUAGUUGCAAUGGAUUCCAACUAUAUUAUAGUAAUAUGACUGGAUGUGUAUUCCUUUCAUGGAAUUCGACACAAUAUGUUGACAUGGUUCCGGAUAAAUUUUACACCUUGGUAAAGACAACAAAAUCAGCUCCGAAUUCCCAUGGUACGUAAGUUAUAAUGUCAUUUUAAGUGAUUAUUUAUUUUCUGCUUAUUCAACUAUAGAAACUGCCUUCCUUCAGCCCAUUAUAUAACCGAUGCCAAUCUAAGGACAAAUAAAAUUGAUUGGAAUCAAACAUCAUCUCUGUAUUUUAAUAGCAAAUGUUAGUAUACUAAUUAGUAUGAUGUUAGCAUAUUUUUUUUUGUUAUGACUUGAAUCGUAGACUUUAAACUCGACAACUUAUUUAACCCCUUAGCUUAAUUGUUGAGCUACCCAACUGCCCUCCUCUAUAAAUUAGAUUAUCGAAAAUGUCACUUUAAAUUUUAAAAUAAGGUUUGUUAUGUUGUUUGGGGGUUGUGUGCGAGCACCGGAACGUAGGUGGUGGAAGUUUUUUUUGGUGGCAGCUUGUGACGUUGGUUGAGAUUUUUUAUGUACGUUUGGUCAGGGUUUUGGUACAACUUUUAUUUUCCUUUGUAUGUUGCUACUUUACGACUCCUAGUCUAGCAUUUUUUGUGUUGGUCAGAUUCUUUAUGAUUUUAAUAAAUUCAUUUGGCUUCUUCAAAAAAAAAAAAUUAAAUAAGGUUUAAUCUCAUUUUGCAUAUUAACCCGUUAGUCUAUUUAUUACAUAUGUGACAAAGUUACUUAAACUACCUAUUGUCUAAGGGUGUGUUUGGUAGGAAGAGAAGUUGUGAAGAGAGAAAAAGGUGGGAGAGAGUAUGAGUAGAGAGAAAAUGUGAGAGAGAAAUAUGUUUAUUUUUGAAAGGUCUAAUAUGUAGAGUAGAUUUUAUGUAUUGUUUGUUGUAAGAGAAAGAAGAGAGAUAAUAUACCCUUGAAUUAAAAAAUUAAAGAACCUAUAAUAUAAAUCUUCUUAUAUAUUAAAGUUAACCCGUAAGCCCUAAUUUUAACCUAAACCCUAUUGCAUAAUUUUACUGUUUUAACCUUAAUGCUCGCACUUAAUCUCCUAUUUUCAUGAACAACCCUAAUGCUCUCACCUAAUCUUCUUAUCUUCUUAUAUAUUAAAGUUAUCCCGUAAGCCCUAAUUUUAACCUAAACCCUAUUGCAUAAUUUUACUGUUUUUACCCUAAUGCUCACACCUAAUCUCCUAUUUUCAUGAACAAAGCAAAUCGGCAUCGCUUUAUUUCCCCUAUUUCUUCAAAACAAAUCGCCCUAUUUCUUCAACAAAACAAAUCGCCCUAUUGGAAUAAAAGGGUUUUGAAAAAUUAUAGCAACAUUUUUUUUGUUAAUAUUACAUUUUUCAUCCAAAUUGAAACUUAACUCUCUUUGUUAAAUAUCUACCACAAAAUGCACCAGAAUUUUGCAAUCUAUAUAAACAGGUGGAAGAAACAUUUCAACAAACAGUUAAAGAGUAUCAUUUACGGUAAAGGCCAAAUAUUCGAUAAAAGAAAAAUUAUUUAAAUACAACAUUUUACAUGUUGAGGUUAAGAAUGAGCUAUUUUUAGGUACAUAAUAUAACAUUAACAUAUAAUUUUUACAAAAGAAUGAAGUAACAUUUUGUCAAAAAAAAAAAAAAUGAAGUAACAUACCAAUAAUAUAACAUUGACAUAUAAUUUUAACAAAAAGAAUGAAGUAACACACGAUGGAUAAAAAUUAAUAUUUUUAAGGUGAAUAACUGUGGUGUCUGAGGUUCGAAUUCCAACAUCUGCAUAUAUUUGGGACCACAUAUUUCAUUCUCUUUGAUAUGCAUUGAGAUUUGUUUUUGUCUACUACAUCUACAAUUAGUUUAAUUAACAGGUUAAAUAUAAUUAAAUUGGAUAAUUAAUUUUUUAUGCCAAAAUGAUAAAAAAAAGAACGAAACAAUUGGUGUUUUGAAUUAAAUAAUUUAACAAAUCAUUUCAUCAACAUGUACCUGUCGUCAAAAAAUCUUUUGUGCUUCAGUUCUUUUUUUUUUUUUUUUUUAUCUAUUUGUUUGAAAAAUCCCUCUCUUUAUUUAUUAACUAUUAUGUUGCAGCAAGCAAGGACACAAUUGGAAAAUGAGAGUUCUCUCCUAUUUCUCUGCUGUCUUGCGAAGACUAAAAAAUGUGCAGCCCCAUGCUUUUAGACUCUGUCUCUUCUAUUUCUUUCCUCUGCAAAACUGAAGAAAAGCCCAUAUUCUCUUGUAUCUCUCUCGCCCCAAUUUCUCUCUUCCCUAAUUCAUCUCUACCAAACAAACCGUAAGAGACAAACUUGCCUUGUACAUUAUAUGGUGGAAAAUGCAAUUUGAUUAAAAAAAAAGAUUGAAAAAGAAGUUCUUUCACUACAACAAUUAUGAUGUAAUGCAACUCCAUUUUGAAAGGACUAAAAAUAAAAAAACCGUUAUCUAGUACGACAAAGUCAACACAAUAUUAAUGGAUAGUCUCGGGUUAUUAUAUUCGAUAAUAACAAAAAAACGGUCAUAAUAUUAAUACUAUUUAGUUAUUUUAUUUUUACUUUUUAAUUAUUUUAUAUUUACUUUUCGAGUGUUGCUAGCAUUCCUCUUUUAUAGAAAUAGAAUCCAAAUGUAAUCUCACAAUCGCUUCAUCUCAUAAUCACUUCAUCAUAAUUGUUUAAUCAUAAUCGUUUAAUCACAUCACUUCAUCAGAAUCACUACUCAUCAUAUCUACUUUAUCGCGAUCACUUUUACAUCCUUAUCACAGUCGCUUCAUCACAACCGUUCUAAUCAAAUUUAUUUCACAAGACCUAGAACUCAAAUAAAAUAAAAAAGUGUCAAAGGGAUAUAUUUCUAUUGCUCAAUGAUUAUUUUUUAUUUUUGUUGAAACAAAGGGGCUAAGAAAACCCCAAAAGAACUAGAAACCACGAGGAAAAGCUACAGCUGAAGACUCCGCAACAACCAGUAAUAAAGAAAAAUCCGGAACACGAUCAAAAAUACGAUAAUGAUUAUCUAAGGACAAUCCAAAUUUUGCCAAGAUGUCAUGGUAGAAACAAUAGCCAAAUGAUUCCAAAAAGUCAUAUUUAUAAAUGAGGAUUUUGAAGUUGAAGUAUUAGGGUUUGGCAUCAAGAUAUGACCAACAAAAUUAAAUGUUUGAGAUGAAUAUGCUUAUAUCACAAUUCAAAUUGAUUUUGUAUAGUCAAUGCAGGUAUAAAAAGGUGGAUAUGGAUAGGUGCUGCAAUUACAACUGCUUUACUCAUAUUAUGCCCACUCAUUAUAUGGCUAGCCAAAAAGAAAAAAAAAUAUGCACUUCCAGGUAUAUCAAUAUGGAUACUUUAAAACAGUCAAUGCAAGUAAAACAAGAUGGAUAUGUAUAGGUUCUAUCUUUAUCUUUGAUUUUUUUGGUUAUGUAGAUAAGAAAAGUAAAAGAAAGGAAGGUAAGAGCAAUGAUUUGGUGGAAUCAUAUGAUAUCAAAGAUCUUGAAGACGACUUCAAGGGACAUGAUAUAAAAGUUUUUAACUUUACAUCAAUCUUGGAAGCAACUAUGGAAUUUUCCCCUGAAAACAAGUUAGGACAGGGAGGUUAUGGACCCGUUUAUAAGGUGACUUUAUAGUUAAAUUGUAUGUUUUAAAAACAUGUUGUAAAUUACUAUUAUAAUUAUGGCACCAGCAUCAUGUUGCAAACAAGUGUUUCUAAUGUGGUAAUGUUGUUUUUCAUGGUUAGUGAUUAUUGUUUCGGACAAAACUUAUAUGUAUUUUUUAUAGGUAUUUUUUGGUAUGGUUCUUAACUGUAGCAACUAUGUUUCUUCAAAUGUAUUAAGUUAAGAACCAUAUUCAUAUUAUCUAAAGAAAUGCACCUAAAUUUUGUACUUGUGUUUUAAGAUUUCAGGGAAUCUUGGCAACAGGGCAAGAAAUUGCUGUAAAAAGGCUUUCGAAAACAUCUGGACAAGGAAUUGUGGAAUUCAAAAAUGAAUUGUUACUUAUAUGUGAACUUCAGCACAAAAAUCUUGUCCAACUACUUGGUUGUUGCAUUCAUGAAGAAGAAAGGAUUCUAAUUUACGAAUAUAUGCCAAACAAAAGCUUGGAUUUCUACCUAUUUGGUAAGAAUGUGUGAAGUCUAUAUUUGUAUGUGAUGUUAUCCUAGCUCAUGUUUUAUAUACUCAUUAGUUAGCCAUGGAAAACUAAAUAACAUUAUGAUUUGCUACUUUUGAAUAAUAUACAUUUGAAUAACAUUAUGUUUUCAUUGAGAAGAUUGUACAAAAAAGAUGUUGCUAGAUUGGAAGAAGCGUUUCAACAUAAUCGAAGGAAUUUCUCAAGGAUUACUCUAUCUUCAUAAGUACUCAAGACUCAAAAUCAUUCACAGAGACUUGAAAGCUAGCAACAUACUUCUUGAUGAGAAUAUGAACCCAAAAAUUGCUGAUUUUGGUAUGGCAAGGAUGUUUACACAACUGGAAUCCACAGUAAAUACCAACCGGAUUGUUGGGACUUAGUGAGUAUUCUAAAAUUUAUUUGUUAUUAAUAUUUUUAUUAUGAUGAUUUUGUGAAAACUUUUUAUUUUAAAGUUAUGAAUUUUUUUGUGUAGUGGUUACAUGUCUCCAGAAUAUGCCAUGGAAGGAGUUUGUUCUACAAAGUCUGAUGUCUAUAGCUUUGGAGUGUUGAUGCUUGAAAUUGUUUGUGGAAGAAAAAAUAAUAGCUUUUAUGAUGAUGAUCGUCCACUAAAUCUAAUCGGACAUGUAUGUCAAUUACUUUCAUUGAGUUUUUUUUAAUAAAUAUUACCUAUUCUUCGUAAUUUGAUUAGAUUAUUAAUAGGCAUGGGAGCUAUGGAAUGAUGGUGAGUAUCUAAAGCUAAUGGAUCCAACGUUAAAUGACACAUUUGUUCCGGAUGAAGUGAAAAGGUGCAUUCAUGUUGGUCUCUUAUGUGUAGAACAAUAUGCAAAUGAUCGACCUACAAUGUCUGAUGUUAUAGCAAUGUUAACAAACAAAUAUGAACUCACAACAAUACCCAGAAGACCAGCAUUUUAUGUUAGAAGAGACAUUCUUGAUGGAGAAACAACUUCUAAAGUGCCAGACACCGACACCUAUUCUACAACAAUUUCUACCUCGUGUGAAGUAGAA